UACAGGGGGUGCAAACGUUGCUCGGAAUCAUUGGGCGUAAAGCGCACGUAGGCGGUUCGUUAUGUCGGAUGUGAAAGCCCUUGGCUUAACCGAGGAAGUGCAUCCGAAACUGGCGAGCUAGAGUACGAAAGAGGAUCGCGGAAUUCCCGGUGUAGAGGUGAAAUUCGUAGAUAUCGGGAGGAACACCGGUGGCGAAGGCGGCUUCCUGGCCUGUUCUUGACGCUGAGGCGCGAAAGCUAGGGUAGCAAACGGG
rnacentral:rRNA from 1 species